rnacentral:rRNA from 1 species
UACGUAGGGUGCAAGCGUUAAUCGGAAUUACUGGGCGUAAAGUGUGCGCAGGCGGCCGCGCAAGUCGAGUGUGAAAGCCCCGGGCUUAACUUGGGAAUUGCGCUCGAAACUACGUGGCUGGAGUAUGGCAGAGGAAGGUGGAAUUCCACGUGUAGCGGUGAAAUGCGUAGAGAUGUGGAGGAACACCGAUGGCGACGGCAGCCUUCUGGGCCAAUACUGACGCUCAUGCACGAAAGCGUGGGGAGCAAACAGG